rnacentral:snRNA from 11 species
AGCUUUGCGCAGGGGCAGUAUGGUAGCCAAUGAGGUUUAAACGAGGCNCGAUUAUUGCUAAUUGAAAGUCAAGUCACAGAAGGCCAAAGAGCAUCUGAUAUGGGUGCUGGGAACUGAACCCAGGUCCUCUGUAAGAACAACAAGUAUUCUUAACUACCGAACAAUCUCUCUAGAG